rnacentral:rRNA from 1 species
UACGAAGGGGGCUAGCGUUGCUCGGAAUCACUGGGCGUAAAGGGCGCGUAGGCGGCCAUUCAAGUCAGGGGUGAAAGCCUGUGGCUCAACCACAGAAUUGCCUUUGAUACUGUUUGGCUAGAGACCGGAAGAGGUAAGUGGAACUGCGAGUGUAGAGGUGAAAUUCGUAGAUAUUCGCAAGAACACCAGUGGCGAAGGCGACUCACUGGACACAUAUUGACGCUGAGGUGCGAAAGCGUGGGGAGCAAACAGG